rnacentral:rRNA from 1 species
GACGAACGCUGGCGGCGUGCCUAAUACAUGCAAGUCGAACGCACUCUCGUUUAGAUUGAAGGAGCUUGCUCCUGAUUGAUAAACAUUUGAGUGAGUGGCGGACGGGUGAGUAACACGUGGGUAACCUGCCCUAAAGUGGGGGAUAACAUUUGGAAACAGAUGCUAAUACCGCAUAAAACCUAACACCGCAUGGUGUAGGGUUGAAAGAUGGUUUCGGCUAUCACUUUAGGAUGGACCCGCGGUGCAUUAGUUAGUGGUGAGGUAAAGGCUCACCAAGACCGUGAUGCAUAGCCGACCUGAGAGGGUAAUCGGCCACACUGGGACUGAGACACGGCCCAGACUCCUACGGGAGGCAGCAGUAGGGAAUCUUCCACAAUGGACGAAAGUACUGAUGGAGCGAACGCCGCGUGAGUGAAGAAGGUUUCGGAUCGUAAAACUCUAGUUGUUGGAGAAGAAUGUAAUCAGAUAG